rnacentral:rRNA from 1 species
GCCCAUCACUUGGGGAUAACCUUUGCGAAAGUAAGACUAAUACCCAAUGAUAUCUCUAGAAGACAUCUGAAAGAGAUUAAAGAUUUAUCGGUGAUGGAUGGGGAUGCGUCUGAUUAGCUUGUUGGCGGGGUAACGGCCCACCAAGGCAACGAUCAGUAGGGGUUCUGAGAGGAAGGUCCCCCACAUUGGAACUGAGACACGGUCCAAACUCCUACGGGAGGCAGCAGUGAGGAAUAUUGGUCAAUGGGCGAGAGCCUGAACCAGCCAAGUAGCGUGCAGGAUGACGGCCCUAUGGGUUGUAAACUGCUUUUAUAAGGGAAUAAAGUGAGCCUCGUGAGGCUUUUUGCAUGUACCUUAUGAAUAAGGACCGGCUAAUUCCGUGCCAGCAGCCGCGGUAAUACGGAAGGUCCGGGCGUUAUCCGGAUUUAUUGGGUUUAAAGGGAGCGUAGGCCGGAGAUUAAGCGUGUUGUGAAAUGUAGACGCUCAACGUCUGCACUGCAGCGCGAACUGGUUUCCUUGAGUACGCACAAAGUGGGCGGAAUUCGUGGUGUAGCGGUGAAAUGCUUAGAUAUCACGAAGAACUCCGAUUGCGAAGGCAGCUCACUGGAGCGCAACUGACGCUGAAGCUCGAAAGUGCGGGUAUCGAACAGGAUUAGAUACCCUGGUAGUCCGCACGGUAAACGAUGGAUGCCCGCUGUUGGUCUGAAUAGGUCAGCGGCCAAGCGAAAGCAUUAAGCAUCCCACCUGGGGAGUAC